rfam:Camelus ferus unplaced genomic scaffold scaffold1993, whole genome shotgun sequence.
GAGGCUAUAGCUCAGCGGUAGAGUGUAUGCUUAGCAUGCACAAGGUCCUGGGUUCAAUCCCCAGUACCUCCA